GCCACCGGCGAGCGGGCGGCCGAGGGCGCGGAGCGGCGAGCCGAGAUCCCGCGCAGCCCGCCCGGCGUGCCCGCGGCGAUGGAGCAGGACAAGUACCUGCCCGAGCUGAUGGCCGAGAAGGACAGCCUGGAUCCCUGCUUUGUUCACGCGAUGCGCCUCCUGGAAGAUGAAAUGGAAAAAUUUCAGGGUUCAGAAGGCAAGAAGGAAGAUGAAGAAAAGAAAUAUCUUGAUGUUAUCAGCAACAAAAACAUAAAGCUGUCGGAGAGAGUUCUGAUCCCUGUCAAACAAUAUCCAAAGUUCAAUUUUGUUGGGAAAUUGCUUGGACCAAGAGGAAACUCUUUAAAGAGAUUACAAGAAGAAACAGGUGCAAAAAUGUCCAUCCUGGGAAAAGGAUCCAUGAGGGAUAAAGCUAAGGAGGAAGAACUAAGGAAAAGUGGAGAAGCCAAAUACGCGCACUUGAGUGAUGAGCUCCACGUAUUAAUUGAAGUGUUUGCUCCACCUGGGGAGGCGUAUUCUCGUAUGAGUCAUGCCUUGGAAGAAAUAAAAAAAUUCCUGGUUCCUGAUUAUAAUGAUGAAAUUCGCCAGGAGCAGCUGAGAGAACUUUCAUAUUUGAAUGGUUCUGAGGAUUCAUCACGUGGACGGGGCAUUCGAGGAAGAGGGAUCCGUGUGCCACCUGCAGCUCCUUCAAGGGGCCGUGGGGGUGCCAUUCCUCCCCCGCUGCCUGGACGAGGUGCCCAGGCGCCCCGAGGAGCGCCGGUGACGCGUGGAGCGCUCCCUGUCCCACCGGUGGCCAGGGGCGUUCCCACCCCUCGAGCCAGGGGCGCCCCGUCCGUCCCGGGCUACAGACCACCCCCGCCGCCCGCACACGAGGCCUACGAAGACUAUGGAUACGAUGAUGGAUAUGGAGGUGAAUAUGAUGAUCCAAGCUAUGAGGCAUAUGAUAACAGUUAUGCCACACAAACACAAAGUGUGCCUGAAUAUUAUGACUAUGGUCACGGAACAAGCGAAGAGGCUUAUGACAGCUACGCACAAGAAGAAUGGGCUACAACCCGUUCCAGCCUAAAGGCACCACCUCCAAGGUCAGCCAGAGGGGGUUACAGGGAACACCCCUAUGGUAGAUAUUGAAGGUCCUCCUCAUCUGUGACCUCAUCUCAAAGACAAUUAAUAGCCUGUGGUCUCCACAUAAACAGCAACAAGACAAGGACUCACAGGCAUUGGACAGCUAAGCAGCAGAUCUGCUGGGAAGUGGUCAGAUUUUUGGAGCCUUAGGGAAGUACUGUACCUUUUGAAUGGUAUUCAGGGAAUUGAGAGUGCUCAACAUCAUUUGCAAUAAAUCACUGGCUUCUGAAGGACUGAACCUCAGGUUAGGACUCUCCACAGCCCUGAGUUCUGGACCUACCAUUACCACCCUCUCUAGGAUAUGCCACCACUCAGACUUACAGUGAUCUUCCAGUCUAUCAGCUGCAUAUAUAUGUGUAUAUACUCAGUUCAGGUUCAAAGGACUAUUUAACCCAUUUUCAGAUUUUUGAGACAGCCAGCUGGUACUAGUGAAAGCUGAAGUACUGAAAAUACACGUAUCACAGAAAUGUUUCACUAUUAGCUGGAAUUGCUGCUGAAGUGAGCCUCCUUUAUUUUUGUAAAAGCAUCCCUAAUGACUGAUGUUGCUGUAGUUACGCACUAUAAUGAUGGUGUACAGAACAGGUACAGAGUACUUCAUUAUGUGCACGAACAGAAAUGCUUAAAUGGAUGAAGCAGCUAUUUACGUCUGAUAGGAGCUAAGUGGGACAUUAAAUUAAUGCCAAACAAAAAAUCAUUCAGCUCAUCCCAGUAUCUGUGGAUUCAGCUGGCAGAAUGAGAGUCCCGUGGACACAAAACAUAAAAUCAAUGACGCUGAAGUUUAUGUAGGCUUAAUAUUGGGAUGAAAAAUGAAGGUGCCUGGUCCUGCUGUCAAUAAAAUAUAUUUGUGUCGUUCUCCAUGCAGCACUUUGAACAGGGUUAGUGAGACUUUAAUCAAGAAAAAAGAUCUAAUGAACAGUAAUUUGAAACACAGCAUUUGGAAAGGUCAGAAUGGUACAUUACAUCCUUAUUAUCCAAAAGAACAGAUGAGUUUAAUAUCCUGGCAGCAUUUUCCUGUGAAGAAGAUAUUAAACAAGAACUGAAAAUGGCACAAGGUUCUCUCUUCCUUUUCUAUGACAAAGAUUGUAACAAGAUGAUGAAACUAUACAGAAUAAAUCCCAUUCUGCUUUAAUGGUC